GCGACGUGGGCCGCGGUGAGAACAAAGGGCUCCGGGCUCCUGUCGGGGCUGCAAGGUCGCUCGCUGCCACUGACUCCGGGAAACCGGGGGUUAGUGACAGGUGCUAACAGUCCGUAACUCUUCCGCUUUCAUGCAGCUCCCGUCAUCCCUUUCACGAAGAACGUACGGGGGCGCGUAAUCACGCACGUACGUACAUCACGCACUUACGCAAGAGGCACGUACUCAGCCUUGCAUAUAGACAGCCAAGUCUUUAGAAAUCCACUCUCCAUGAAGCCACGCGUGACGUCAUCACGCACUUACGCACGCACUAGCCGCCAGGAGACGCUGUUCAGUUUACGGGUCCUGACGCCCGCUAGCCCACCAGGCCAGCAGGGGAGCUGGAGACCGGCAGCCUGGACAAACGACCGGAAGGAGGAAAAGGAACCGGAGGGAGGAAAAAGAAGAGGGGCGGGACAAGGCCAUCAGGCAGGAGUUUUAAGCUCAGAGCUGCGACACCAGCAGGGCUGUGGAGGCCCCACAGGGUCGCGGGGUGUCCCUUAUGCUGCGUUGAGGUGCAGGAUCAGAGAAGUAAAGAGACAGGACACUGAAGAACCGGUGAAGAGCAUCUGGACUCGGGGGGCCAUGCCACCUGUGAGCGGAGAUCAGCGACGGCCCCCAAAGGCCCAAGAGCAUCUGUAUUUAUUAGAGACCUCAUCGGCUCAGAGGCUUGUUCCUCUGUCUCUUUGCAGGGCUAUUUUGGACUCAGUAUUCACCUAAGCCCUCCAAAUUGUCCAGCAAGCUCACGUUGCUCAGCCUUUGAAUCCCUUCCUUCACCGUCUGCAGUGACAAUCCGGGCCUUUCACCGUCACUCAGGCAUGGACCAUCGCUGUUGCCCAUGCCAUGCCAUGCCAUCAACAG
rnacentral:lncRNA from 13 species